CUAUCACUCCUACGGGAGGCAGCAUGGGGGAAUAUUGCACAAUGGGGGAAACCCCUGAUGCAGCCAUGCCGCGUGUGUGAAGAAGGCCUUCGGGUUGUAAAGCACUUUCAGUAGGGAGGAAGGUAGUGUAGUUAACACCUGCAUUAUUUGACGUUACCUACAGAAGAAGCACCGGCUAACUCCGUGCCAGCAGCCGCGGUAAUACGGAGGGUGCGAGCGUUAAUCGGAAUUACUGGGCGUAAAGCGCAUGCAGGCGGCCUGUUAAGUCAGAUGUGAAAGCCCGGGGCUUAACCUCGGAAUUGCAUUUGAAACUGGCAGGCUAGAGUCUUGUAGAGGGGGUAGAAUUUCAGGUGUAGCGGUGAAAUGCGUAGAGAUCUGAAGGAAUACCAGUGGCGAAGGCGGCCCCCUGGACAAAGACUGACGCUCAGAUGCGAAAGCGUGGGGAAGCAAACAGGAUUAGAUACCCUGGUAG
rnacentral:rRNA from 1 species